rnacentral:rRNA from 1 species
GAUGAACGCUAGCGGGAGGCUUAACACAUGCAAGUCGAGGGGCAUCACGAGGUAGCAAUACUUUGGUGGCGACCGGCGCACGGGUGAGUAACACGUAUGCAACCUUCCCUGUACAGGGGGAUAACCCGGAGAAAUUCGGACUAAUACCCCAUGAUGAUAUUUAUGGGCAUCCAUUAAUAUUUAAAGCUCUGGCGGUACAGGAUGGGCAUGCGCGACAUUAGCUAGUUGGUAAGGUAACGGCUUACCAAGGCCACGAUGUUUAGGGGACCUGAGAGGGUUGUCCCCCACACUGGUACUGAGACACGGACCAGACUCCUACGGGAGGCAGCAGUGAGGAAUAUUGGUCAAUGGGCGCAAGCCUGAACCAGCCAUCCCGCGUGAAGGAAGAAUGCGCUACGCGUUGUAAACUUCUUUUCCAGGGGGAAAUAAUCCUGUCGUGACAGGACUUGACGGUACUCUGGGAAUAAGCAUCGGCUAACUCCGUGCCAGCAGCCGCGGU